rnacentral:rRNA from 1 species
AGUGAACGCUGGCGGUAGGCCUAACACAUGCAAGUCGAACGGCAGCACAGUAAGAGCUUGCUCUUACGGGUGGCGAGUGGCGGACGGGUGAGGAAUACAUCGGAAUCUACUUUUUCGUGGGGGAUAACGUAGGGAAACUUACGCUAAUACCGCAUACGACCUACGGGUGAAAGCAGGGGAUCUUCGGACCUUGCGCGAUUGAAUGAGCCGAUGUCGGAUUAGCUAGUUGGCGGGGUAAAGGCCCACCAAGGCGACGAUCCGUAGCUGGUCUGAGAGGAUGAUCGGCCACAGUGGAAAUGAGACACGGUCAAGACUACGACGGGACGAACCAGGGGGGAAUGGUGGGCAAUGGUCGGAAGUCUGAUCCAGACAUACCGCGGAAGAGAAAGACGCCGUCGGGUUGUAAAGCCCUUGUAUGGGGCAAGAAAAGCAGCAGGAUGAUACCCCGCUGCACUGACGGUACCCAAUAAAUAAGAAAAGGCUAACUUCGGG